GGAGGAGUGGCCGAGUGGUUGAAGGCGGCGGUCUUGAAAACCGUUUUCGCGAAAGCGGACGUGGGUUCGAAUCCUACCUCCUCCG
rnacentral:tRNA from 1 species